GACGAACCGUGCGAACGUUGUUCGGAAUCACUGGGCUUAAAGGGCGCGUAGGCGGGCUCACAAGUCAGGGGUGAAAGCCCACGGCUCAACCGUGGAAGAGCCUUUGAUACUGUGGGUCUCGAGGGAGGUAGGGGCGUGCGGAACUUCCGGUGGAGCGGUGAAAUGCGUAGAUAUCGGAAGGAACAUCGGUGGCGAAAGCGGCGCGCUGGACCUCUUCUGACGCUGAGGCGCGAAAGCCAGGGGAGCAAACGGG
rnacentral:rRNA from 1 species